UACAGAGGGGGCAAGCGUUGUUCGGAAUUACUGGGCGUAAAGGGCGCGUAGGCGGCCUGUUAAGUCGAACGUGAAAUCCCCGGGCUCAACCCGGGAACUGCGUCCGAUACUGGCAGGCUUGAAUUCGGGAGAGGGAUGUGGAAUUCCAGGUGUAGCGGUGAAAUGCGUAGAGAUGUGGAGGAACACCAAUGGCGAAGGCAGCCUCCUGGGCCAACACUGACACUCAUGCACGAAAGCGUGGGGAGCAAACAGG
rnacentral:rRNA from 1 species